AACGCACCUUGCGCCCGGUGGUAUUCCGCCGGGCAUGCCUGUCUGAGUGUCACGAUCACCGUCAACCGGGCCGCCCUCUGGGAUCGGUCUCGGCUUGGAAGCUGGGCGAGGGCCUCCAUCGGGGGCCCGCCUGAAAUGGCCAGAGCCUCAGGGCUUGUCGCGGUCUGACCGAGCGUUGUAGUUGCAGUCUUGCCUCGCUCGUUACGCGCUGCCCGUGGCCUUACGGAGUGAUUAGCGAAACGAGACCUCAGAUCAGGUAGGGCUACCCGCUGAACUUAA
rnacentral:misc_RNA from 1 species